rnacentral:rRNA from 1 species
AUUGAACGCUGGCGGCAGGCCUAACACAUGCAAGUCGAGCGGUAACACAGAGGAGCUUGCUCCUUGGGUGACGAGCGGCGGGCGGGUGAGUAAUGCCUGGGGAUCUGCCCGAUAGAGGGGGAUAACUACGGGAAACUGUAGCUAAUACCGCAUAAUGUCUACGGACCAAAGUGGGGGCUCUUCGGACCUCAUGCUAUCGGAUGAACCCAGGUGGGAUUAGCUAGUUGGUGAGGUAAUGGCUCACCAAGGCGACGAUCUCUAACUGGUUUGAGAGAAUGACCAGUCACACUGGAACUGAGACACGGUCCAGACUCCUACGGGAGGCAGCAGUGGGGAAUAUUGCACAAUGGGCGCAAGCCUGAUGCAGCCAUGCCGCGUGUGUGAAGAAGGCCUUCGGGUUGUAAAGCACUUUCAGCGGGGAGGAAGGGUCGCUAGUUAAUACCUAGUGGCAUUGACGUUACUCGCAGAAGAAGCACCGGCUAACUCCGUGCCAGCCGCCGCCGUAACAC